ACGUUGAAACACCGGUUCUCGUACGAUCACCGAAGUUAAGCAACGUCUAGCUUGGCCAGUACCUAGAUAAGUGACCACUUGGGAAUACCAGGCGCU